rnacentral:lncRNA from 1 species
AAACUAUAGCCAUCGUGACUCUUUGGUUCUUAAAUUUUAAUUUAUUAUAAUUUUUAUUACAAUCAAAUUCAUAAUUAAUUUAGUUUAUUAAAUAGAUACAUUAUUGAUGUAAAAAUUAUUAUCAAAUCAUCAAUUAUAAUAUUUUCAUAUUAUUUAUGCAUUAAUAAUUAUUUAUUAAUAUUUAGUGAACUAAAAUGCGUAAUAAUUCUGAAAAUUCGAGGCAUAAAUGGUAAUAAAUUGAAAAUUGAGGAACAAAUG